rnacentral:rRNA from 1 species
UACGUAGGGGGCAAGCGUUGUUCGGAUUCAUUGGGCGUAAAGGGUGCGUAGGUGGCGCCGUAAGUGGGGUGUGAAAUUUCGGAGCUUAACUCCGAAACUGCAUUCCAUACUGCGGUGCUUGAGGACUGGAGAGGAGACUGGAAUUUACGGUGUAGCAGUGAAAUGCGUAGAGAUCGUAAGGAAGACCAGUGGCGAAGGCGGGUCUCUGGACAGUUCCUGACACUGAGGCACGAAGGCCAGGGGAGCAAACGGG